rnacentral:lncRNA from 1 species
GAUCAUGUAUAACUUCUUAGAUAAGAUCUCAACUUUCAGUGACUUUUGAAUUUUUUGAGCCAAAAUUUUUUAAAAAAGAUUUAGUUAUAAUUCACUUUUGUAGAAUCCGGCUACUAUCCUAUUAAUAGGAUAAAGACCAUCGUCCUAUCAAGUCGUUCUCGAUGAUAGAGAUGCUGAAUCGAUGAUCGGAACCAUUAAAGUUGGUCUAGAGUAUUUGAAAUAUAUAGAAACUAAAUUUCAGAUAUUUUAAAAAUCGUUUAUAUGGUGAUCAAAGGAUCGUAAAAUUGACAAUUUUUGACGGCCUAGAUGAGCCGUUUGCUUGUUUAACGGUACAGAGCAAUCCAAACUACUUGAAUUUUUGAUAGAAAAUUUUUUAUACUAUUUAGAUAAUAUUUGAUAACUCUGAUCAUGAUUUGAAAAAGUCUAACUUCUAUUUUAAGAAGGUUAUUCAUUUAUGACCGUUUAUUUUUUCGACUCUUUGAUAGACUUGAUAAUGAUUUUUAAAAAUUAUAAAAUUCGGUUUUUAAAUAUUUUUUAUAGUGUAGAUCAAUUUCAACGGUACCGAUUAUUAAUUUGAAAUGUCAAUCAUUGAAAACGACUUGAUAGGACAAUAGUCCCAAUCCUAUUAAUAGGAUAGUAGCCGGACUCCACUUUUGUAAAGUGAUUUUAUAUUCACUUCCGCAAACUAAACAACCGAUAAGACAUUACUUUUCAAAAGUGCCACUUUUGGUACUUUACUUUCAGCCAAUCAACCAUGCUCUAAAUUUAA